GACGAACGCUGGCGGCGUGCUUAACACAUGCAAGUCGAACGGAAAGGCCCUGCUUUUGUGGGGUGCUCGAGUGGCGAACGGGUGAGUAACACGUGAGUAACCUGCCCUUGACUUUGGGAUAACUUCAGGAAACUGGGGCUAAUACCGGAUAGGAGCUCCUGCUGCAUGGCGGGGGUUGGAAAGUUUCGGCGGUUGGGGAUGGACUCGCGGCUUAUCAGCUUGUUGGUGGGGUAGUGGCUUACCAAGGCUUUGACGGGUAGCCGGCCUGAGAGGGUGACCGGCCACCUUGGGACUGCGAUACGGCCCAGACUCCUACGGGAGGCAGCAGUGGGGAAUAUUGCCCAAUGGGCGGAAGCCUGAUGCAGCAACGCCGCGUGCGGGAUGACGGCCUUCGGGUUGUAAACCGCUUUCGCCUGUGACGAAGCGUGAGUGACGGUAAUGGGUAAAGAAGCACCGGCUAACUACGUG
rnacentral:rRNA from 1 species